AGCCUUCCAGCUCAGGGAGGGGUGUGCGAUAGUGUGAGAAGACGUCUCUUGCCUGAGAGUCUCUUGGAGGGGUUGACCCAGAUCCAGAACCCUGGGCAAGUUCUCUGUCUCUGAGUUCUUCCGUCUCCCUGACGAUAAAUCAUCCCGUUCCUUCUCUGCCUCUGCCUCCCCACAACUAUCCUUCCCACCGUACGUGUGUGCGCACGGCCCCCAGCACCCAAAUACACAAAUACAAACACGCACGCGCACCUGAGCACACACCCAGCGAGGACACGCGAGAUUUAACCAACCGAAGAACGUGGAACUAACCGAAGACUCCCACAGACAGUGUAUGAGGUACUCAUGAAUUGAUGCUCAGUAAAUACGGAGUAAAUAAUGGGCAAACGGUCCGAAAACACCAGCUGUUCCUGUUGAGGAGCCACGCGAUCUGUUACUUCUUGUGAAGCAAUAGCUGACUUUCAGCUCAUAAGAUGCAGCAGGCUGGAGGUGGAUGGAGAUCUCUCGAUGUGAAAGCACACUUAUCUGCUCCCUAAAUUUAAAUAAAAAGCGAAAUGAAAUAAACCGAUCCCGGCAGAAGAGGAGAAACCCA